UACAGAGGUCUCAAGCGUUGUUCGGAUUCAUUGGGCGUAAAGGGUGCGUAGGUGGUGGGGUAAGUCGGAUGUGAAAUCCCGGGGCUCAACCCCGGAACUGCAUUCGAAACUGCCUUGCUCGAGUACUGGAGAGGAGACUGGAAUUUACGGUGUAGCAGUGAAAUGCGUAGAUAUCGUAAGGAAGACCAGUGGCGAAGGCGAGUCUCUGGACAGCAACUGACGCUGAGGCACGAAGGCCAGGGGAGCAAACGGG
rnacentral:rRNA from 1 species